rnacentral:rRNA from 1 species
UAAGAGUAUAUAUUAAUGUUGUUGUGGUUAAAACGUUCGUAGUUUAAUUAAGAGGGGAGAUAUGCAACUCGUUGGUGUCUGAGCCAAUUAAGAUAGGCUUCACAAUGAAGCAGAUUUUAUGGUCUCUUUGUAGAUGGCAUUGCGUCCAUUCGGGCAUCAGCUUCGGCUAGACAUUGGGCAGCUAAACACAAAGUGUGAAGCUAAACCUUUGAAUGGUGAGUUCUGUAUUUCCUCUUGUAACGCGGUUGUGAACAAAUCCAAAUGCUUAAAGUAGAUUGAAUAAUGACCUUCCUUGUGUUGGUCAUUCUUGUCUGAAAGAUAUAGCAUGAUACCGCAAAAAGUUGACUUCUUUU